rnacentral:rRNA from 1 species
UGCAGUCGACGAUGACCACUUCGGUGGGGAUUAGUGGCGAACGGGUGAGUAACACGUGGGCAAUCUGCCCUGCACUCUGGGACAAGCCCUGGAAACGGGGUCUAAUACCGGAUAAUACUCCUGCACUCAUGUGUGGGGGUUAAAAGCUCCGGCGGUGCAGGAUGAGCCCGCGGCCUAUCAGCUUGUUGGUGAGGUAAUGGCUCACCAAGGCGACGACGGGUAGCCGGCCUGAGAGGGCGACCGGCCACACUGGGACUGAGACACGGCCCAGACUCCUACGGGAGGCAGCAGUGGGGAAUAUUGCACAAUGGGCGAAAGCCUGAUGCAGCGACGCCGCGUGAGGGAUGACGGCCUUCGGGUUGUAAACCUCUUUCAGCAGGGAAGAAGCGCAAGUGACGGUACCUGCAGAAGAAGCGCCGGCUAACUACGUGCCAGCAGCCGCGGUAAUACGUAGGGCGCAAGCGUUGUCCGGAAUUAUUGGGCGUAAAGAGCUCGUAGGCGGCUUGUCACGUCGGGUGUGAAAGCCCGGGGCUUAACCCCGGGUCUGCAUUCGAUACGGGCUAGCUAGAGUGUGGUAGGGGAGAUCGGAAUUCCUGGUGUAGCGGUGAAAUGCGCAGAUAUCAGGAGGAACACCGGUGGCGAAGGCGGAUCUCUGGGCCAUUACUGACGCUGAGGAGCGAAAGCGUGGGGAGCGAACAGGAUUAGAUACCCUGGUAGUCCACGCCGUAAACGGUGGGAACUAGGUGUUGGCGACAUUCCACGUCGUCGGUGCC